CUGGACGGCGUGGCGGCGUGCUAUACAUGCAGUCGAGCGAACUGAUUAGAAGCUUGCUUCUAUGACGUUAGAGGAGGACGGGUGAGUAACACGUGGGCAACCUGCCUGUAAGACUGGGAUAACUUCGGGAAACCGAAGCUAAUACCGGAUAGGAUCUUCUCCUUCAUGGGAGAUGAUUGAUUCAUGGUUUCGGCUAUCACUUACAGAUGGGCCCGCGGUGCAUUAGCUAGUUGGUGAGGUAACGGCUCACCAAGGCAACGAUGCAUAGCCGACCUGAAAGGUUGAUCGGCCACACUGGGACUGAAACACGGCCCAGACUCCUACUGGAGGCACAAUAAGUCAUCUUCCGCAAUGGACGA
rnacentral:rRNA from 1 species